rfam:Tupaia chinensis contig81410, whole genome shotgun sequence.
GUGCUCACUUCAGCAGCACAUAUACUGCGAUUGUAACACAGAGAGACUACCCAUGGCCCCUGUGCAAGAGGGACACACAAAUUUGUGAAAUAUUCCACAUCUUA